UGGGGGAUAUUGCACAAUGGAGGAAACUCUGAUGCAGCAACGCCGCGUGAGGGAAGAAGGUCUUCGGAUUGUAAACCUUAGUAGUCAGGGACGAAAGAAAUGACGGUACCUGAAGAGUAAGCUCCGGCUAACUACGUGCCAGCAGCCGCGGUAAUACGUAGGGAGCGAGCGUUGUCCGGACUUACUGGGUGUAAAGGGUGCGUAGGCGGGACUGCAAGUCAGACGUGAAAUACCGGGGCUUAACCUCGGGGCUGCGUUUGAAACUGCGGUUCUUGAGUGAAGUAGAGGCAGGCGGAAUUCCUAGUGUAGCGGUGAAAUGCGUAGAUAUUAGGAGGAACACCAGUGGCGAAGGCGGCCUGCUGGGCUUUAACUGACGCUGAAGCACGAAAGCAUGGGGAGCAAACA
rnacentral:rRNA from 1 species